AAGUUUCGUAUCCAACUCUCCCAUCUAGAUAAAGAGAAUAUUCAAAAUUGCCAAGGGAGGGACACUAGGGAGUUCCCCAAAUUGUAACUUGUAAGGCUUGGCACUUCAUGAACUUGGGAGAAUAUCCCAAUUUCCAAAAUAUUCAACUGUAUUCUUUCAUUUUUUGACAUACACAAAAUGCUUAGUAUGUUUACAAUCUCUUCUCCAUCUAAUCCUAGGUUCUCAUAUUCUCGCAUCACAUCUCCCAAUAUUUCUUUUAUGACUUCUUCAAUUGUUCACCAAAGGAAGGUAAACACAAAUAUGCCCCAUAGCCACCAGUAACGAAUUGCACAAUUGACCUUCAAAGCUUUUCUAUUAUUCCAAGAUAUUUUCCUCUCCUCUCUUACUUUAUCUCAUAUAGAACUCUCCUCUUUGUCCCCCUUUGCUUCUCUAAUCGUGAAUUGGACGUUACUGUUACCAGUUCCAUUGACAAGGAUCGCAUUGUUCUCCAGAGCUAUGUUUGUUUACAAGCACAGGACACUAAGACAGAAAACCAUGUUUGGAAGAUGAGACAAAGACAAAGACCCUGUGUCCAAAGACACUGAAUUAGUGUAUUUGUGUCUUUCUUAACAAGAAGGCUAUAGAGACAUUAACAAGAGACACAACUUAUGCAAUAGCGAAGCACUAUGAAUGGGUUAACUUAUUUCUACAACUUUUAUAUUUAAACUAACGGACAAAAGAUCGUACUACGGAGGAGCUUUUGAUUUAUG